rnacentral:rRNA from 1 species
GUAGGUGGCAAGCGUUGUCCGGAAUUAUUGGGCGUAAAGCGCGCGCAGGCGGUUCUUUAAGUCUGAUGUGAAAGCCCACGGCUCAACCGUGGAGGGUCAUUGGAAACUGGAGAACUUGAGUACAGAAGAGGAAAGCGGAAUGCCACGUGUAGCGGUGAAAUGCGUAGAGAUGUGGAGGAACACCAGUGGCGAAGGCGGCUUUCUGGUCUGUAACUGACGCUGAGGCGCGAAAGCGUGGGGGAGCAAACAGGAUUAGAUACCCUGGUAGUCCACGCCGUAAACGAUGAGUGCUAAGUGUUAGGGGGUUUCCGCCCCUUAGUGCUGCAGCUAACGCAUUAAGCACUCCGCCCUGGGAGUACGGCCGCAAGGCUG